AUUGAACGCUGGCGGCAGGCCUAACACAUGCAAGUCGAACGAGUGGAGGACGGGUGAGUAAUGUCUGGGAAACUGCCCGAUGGAGGGGGAUAACUACUGGAAACGGUAGCUAAUACCGCAUAUCCUCGGCUCUGUACAGAUGGGAUUUGCGAGUAGGUGGGGUAACGGCGCACCUAGGCGACGAUCCCUAGCUGGUCUGAGAGGAUGACCAGCCACACGGGAACUGAGACACGGUCCAGACUCAUACGGGAGGCAGCAGUGGGGAAUAUUGCACAAUGGGCGCAAGCCGGAUGGAGCAAUGCCGAGUGUAUGAAGAAGGCCGUCGGGUUGUAAAGUACUUGCAUCGGUGAGGCGUUACCUACAGAGGAAGCACCGGCUAACUCCGUGACAGCAGCGGAGGUAAUAC
rnacentral:rRNA from 1 species